CCCGUCUGGCAUGGACGCUGCAGCCCCCCUGCUUAUAGCAAGUUUUAUAAUCCCAGCCGGCAGCCGGCUGGGAGCAUGCAGCUCCCCAAGUCGUAGCGCGAGCAUUAAUGCAUUUCGCAGGCCGCUCGCUCCGGUCCCGGGCGGCCGGUGGACCACCGGCCGCGGUGGUUGGGGUCUCCGGCGAUCUUAAGCCGAGCUAAGGCCGGUGCGUGCCGUCGCCGCAGCCAGUCGGGUCAGCCGGCCGCGCGGCGGCGGCGACGGCGAGUGGGAACGCGGCCGGGGAGGUUGCGGCUGGGCCGGGGGCUGGUCUUUUUCAGCAUCAGUGCGCGGCCGGUGGUCAAGGAGCCAAGCCACCUACUCUUUAAACUCCUUUUCAGCGCCGUUCCCUGAUGCGCCGCGCCGCGGUGCACGUCGCCGUCGUCGCCCCUGUACCGGCGCACCUGACCGGCCGACGGGGCGCCUCUCACCUACUGGGAUGAUGAGCGAGUCGCCGCCCCUUGGCCGGACUGGGUCGAUCAAGCUGGCCAUCCCGGUUGCAGCAACGUUUUCUUUUCUCGAUUUGUACAUUUGUCGAAUCGAGUCCGUGUUCGUUUGUUUCUCUUUUUUUUAACGAAACGUUCGUUUUUUCAAUUGGAAUGAAACGGGUGAGGGAAUUUGAAAAUUUGUAUGGUUCCACGUAGGAUAUGACACAAAACCAUGGGUCCUUUCUUCUCCUA